rnacentral:rRNA from 1 species
GCCGAUGUCUGAUUAGCUAGUUGGUGAGGUAAAGGCUUACCAAGGCAACGAUCAGUAGCUGGUCUGAGAGGACGAUCAGCCACACUGGGACUGAGACACGGCCCAGACUCCUACGGGAGGCAGCAGUGGGGAAUUUUGGACAAUGGGCGAAAGCCUGAUCCAGCCAUGCCGCGUGAGUGAAGAAGGCCUUCGGGUUGUAAAGCUCUUUUAGUCGGAAAGAAAGAAUUAUGGUUAAUAGCCAUGAUUUAUGACGGUACCGACAGAAAA